rnacentral:rRNA from 1 species
GACGAACGCUGGCGGCGUGCUUAACACAUGCAAGUCGAACGGAAAGGCCCUGCUUUUGUGGGGUGCUCGUGUGGCGAACGGGUGAGUAACACGUGAGUAUCCUGCCCUUGACUUUGGGAUAACUUCAGGAAACUGGGGCUAAUACCGGAUAGGAGCUCCUGCUGCAUGGUGUGGGGUGGAAAGUUUCGGCGGUUGGGGAUGGACGCGCGGCUUAUCAGUUUGUUGGUGGGGUAGUGGCUUACCAAGGCAUGGACGGGUAGCCGGCCUGGGAGGGUGACCGGGCCCAUUGGGACUGAGGUACGGCCCAGACUGCUACGGGAGGCAGCAGUGGGGAAUAUUGCACAAUGGGCGGAAGCCUGAUGCAGCAACGCCGCGUGCGGGAUGACGGCCUUCGGGUUGUAAACCGCUUUCGCCUGUGACGAAGCGUGAGUGACGGUAAUGGGUAAAGAAGCACCGGCUAACUACGUG